GAUAAGUUGCACAAUCAUUGUCGUUAAGAUAAACAAAAAAGAAAUUCCAUCUGCUAAUCCUUUGUGUGUAUGUUUGAGCAUCAAAUCACCUGUAUUUACCUAAAUAAACAUUAAACAACCAUUGAAAGAUUUUUUAAUUCAAUGACGUAAAUAUUCAACCGGUGCCCGCCAUUUUUGUUGAUAAUCUCACUGUGUAACAUAGUGGGUGGGGUAAACAUGAUGAAAAACGCCGUAAUAAGGAAAAGAACAUUUAAAUAUGGGGGUUUAUUGUAUGAACCUUCAUUUGUAAGUAACAGUGACCCUGACCAAACUAGACCCAAAAGCAAUACCAUGCUAGGUCUUCAUUCAAGAGAGAGCAUCAGCAGGAGCAGACAACUCCACCUGGACAACCUGAUGAUCAACCGACUCAUCAGGAAGCUUGCCAAGGGGAGAUCUAGGCGUCUGGACACCUUGAUUUGAAAAUGUGGAGUCAUCGAUACCGGAGUCAGGG